rnacentral:rRNA from 1 species
GGGGAGCAAUCCCUUAGUAAAGCGGCACACGGGUCAGUAAUGCGUGGAUAACUUGCCCUCGAGACUGGGAUAACGGCGGGAAACUGCCGCUAAUACCGGAUGGCCUCGCGAACCGGCAUCGGAUUGCGAGUAAAGGUGGGGCCCGCCGCAAGGCGGUCUGCUGCUCGAGGAGAGGUUCACGACCUAUCAGCUAGUUGGUGAGGUAACGGCUCACCAAGGCUACGACGGGUAGGCGGGCUGAGAGGCUGACCGCCGACACUGGGACUGAGAACUGCCCAGACUCCUACGGGAGGCUGCAGUCGAGAAUCUUCCACAAUGGACGCAAGUCUGAUGGAGCGACGCCGCGUGUGGGAUGAAGGUCUUUGGAUUGUAAACCACUGUCACGCGUUAUGAAUGCGCGGCAGCUAAUACCUGCUGCGUUGACAAAGGCGCGAGAGGAAGCCACGGCUAACUCUGUGCCAGCAGCCGCGGUAAUACAGAGGUGGCAAGCGUUGCUCGGUAUCACUGGGCUUAAAGGGCGCGUAGGCGGUGCGGUACGGUUUCGGUGAAAUCCCUCGGCCCAACCGAGGAACAGCCGGGACAACGGCCGUGCUAGACGGCAUCAGGGGACAGUGGAACUCCCGGUGGAGCGGUGAAAUGCGUAGAUAUCGGGAGGAACGCCGGUGGCGAAAGCGACUGUCUGGGGUGCCUGUG